UCCCUGGAGGAUUAGUGGUUAGGCCUAGGAGCUCUCGCCACCGUGACCUGGGUUUGAUUCCUGGCCAGAGAA
rnacentral:tRNA from 1 species